AUUGAACGCUGGCGGCAGGCCUAACACAUGUAAGUCGAACGAGUGGCGGACCGGUGAGGAAUGUCUGGGAAACUGCCUGAUGGAGGGGGAUAACUACUGGAAACGGUAGCUGAUACAGCAUACCAUCGGAUGUGCCCAGAUGGGAUUAGCUAGUCGGUGGGGUAAAGGCUAACCUAGGCGACGAUCCCUAGCUGGUCUGAGAGGAUGACCAGCCCAACUGGACCUGAGACACGGUCCCGACUCCUACGUGAGGCAGCAGUGGGGACUAUUGCACCAUGGGCGCAAGCCUGAUGCAGCCAUGCCGCGUGUAUGAAGAGGGCCUUCGGGUUGUAAAGUACUUUCAGCGGUGAGGCGUUACCCGCAGAAGAAGCACCGGCUAACUCCGUGCCAGCAGCCGCGGUAAUAC
rnacentral:rRNA from 1 species